rnacentral:rRNA from 1 species
GGGCGUCUCUAUCUCAUUGCGAGAGGAGGCGCACCUAGAGCGUACACGCUGAUACCCGAAAGAUGGUGAACUAUGCCUGGCCAGGACGAAGCCAGGGGAAACCCUGGUGGAGGUCCGCAGCGAUUCUGACGUGCAAAUCGAUCGUCGGAGCUGGGUUUAGGGGCGAAAGACCAAUCGAACCAUCUAGUAGCUGGUUCCCUCUGAAGUUUCCCUCAGGAUAGCUUGCGCUCGAAUUGAAACGAGUCUCAUCCGGUAGAGCGAAUGAUUAGAGGCCUUGGGGUCGAAACGACCUCAACCUAUUCUCAAACUCCAAAUAGAUGAGAACCCCGGCUUUCUUGAACCAUGUUUAUGAAGCCGGGGGCUUGGAUCAGAGUGCCAAGUGGGCCAAUUUU